rnacentral:rRNA from 1 species
AACUUGAGAGUUUGAUUCUGGCUCAGAACGAACGCUGGCGGYAGGCCUAACACAUGCAAGUCGAACGAYAUAGUGGNNGACGGGUGAGUAACGCGUGGGAACGUACCUUUCGCUACGGAAUAGCUCUUGGAAACGAGUGGUAAUACCGUAUACGCNNUUCGGGGGAAAGAUUUAUCGGCGAAAGAUCGGCCCGCGUUAGAUUAGGUAGUUGGUGGGGUAAUGGCCUACCAAGCCNNCGAUCUAUAGCUNGUCUGAGAGGAUGAUCAGCCACACUGGGACUGAGACACGGCCNNGACUCCUACGGGAGGCAGCAGUGGGGAAUCUUGCACAAUGGGCGAAAGCCUNAUGCAGCCAUGCCGCGUGAAUGAUGAAGGCCNUAGGGUUGUAAAAUUCUUUCGCCAGGGAUGAUAAUGACAGUACCUGGNNAAGAAGCCCCGGCUNACUUCGUGCCAGCAGCNGCGGUAAUACGAAGGGGGCNAGCGUUGUUCGGAAUUACUGGGCGUAAAGCGCACGUAGGCGGACUUUUAAGUCAGAUGUGAAAUCCCGGGGCUCAACCUCGGNACUGCAUUUGAAACUGGAAGUCUGGAGUUCAGGAGAGGUUAGCGGAAUACCGAGUGUAGAGGUNAAAUUCGUAGAUAUUCGGUGGAACACCAGUGGCGAAGGCGGCNAACUGGACUGAUACUGACGCUGAGGUGCNNAAGUGUGGGGAGCAAACAGGAUUAGAUACCCUNGUAGUCCACACCGUAAACGAUGACAGCUNGUUGUUGGCAGGCAUGCCNGUCGGUGACGCASSUAACGCAUUAAGCUGUCCGCCUGGGGAGUACGGCCGCAAGGUUAAAACUCAAAGAAAUUGACGGGGGCCCGCACAAGCGGUGGAGCAUGUGGUUUAAUUCGAANNAACGCGCAGAACCUUACCUACCCUUGACAUCCCGAUCGCGGNUUCCAGAGAUGGAUUCCUUCAGUUAGGCUNGAUCGGNGACAGGUGCUGCAUGGCNGUCGNCAGCUCGUGUCGUGAGAUGUNGGGUUAAGUCCCGCAACGAGCGCAACCCUCAUCCUUAGUUGCCAUCACGUUUGGGUGGGCNCUCUAAGGAAACUGCCGGUGGCAAGCCGGAGGAAGGUGGGNAUGACGUCAAGUCCUCAUNNNCCUUACGGGUAGGGCUACACACGUGCUACAAUGGCAGUGACAAUGGGAUAAUCCCAAAAAGCUGUCUCNGUUCAGAUUGUCCUCUGCAACUCGAGGGCAUGAAGGUGGAAUCGCUAGUAAUCGUGGAUCAGCAUGCCACGGUNAAUACGUUCCCNNNNNNNGUACACACNGNNCGNNACAUCAUGGGAAUNNGCUCUACNNGAAGACGCUNUGCUNACUUNGGAGG